UGCGAAUUUAAAGGAAAUAUAAUCAAAAUGCAAAAUGUUGCACUUGUUGAUUCUGAUCCAGUUCCUGAUACCUUUUAUAGAAUCAAUAGGUUAUGAUUCUUCUGGAGUUGUAGUGGGGAACCUAAGGAAAAGAGAUACUAUACCCCUGCACAGAUUAAGCAGAAGUGAUUUAAGAAGAUUUUAUGGAGAUGAAGAUGAUUUACAUUAUAGAAAAACUAAGGACAUCAGAGAAGAUAAGAGAUUUGAAAUGACAGAAAACCUAAUACGUGAGCUGAAGCUAGCUGAGAAUAAAGAAGCUUUAGACAAAUUGAAUCGUGAAGUAAGAUGGCUGACUAUCGACACUGAAGAGGGGCUGGGGAUUGGAUUAUAAAUAAUGUCAUAAGAAUAAAAUUAUUUGCCAAA